CCCAGCUGGAGGUAACUGCCUAGGUUGCAUUGUACCUAGGCAAGUGUUACACUACGGGGAGGGAAGCAGCCAGUAACUAGUUGGCAUUCUGGGUCUGGUUAAUGCCAAAUAUGUGUUAACUAUACUAGAGUGCCAACAUA
ensembl:snoRNA SNORA74 Small nucleolar RNA SNORA74